rnacentral:lncRNA from 1 species
ACAAAUUUCAACGGCCGUAGUGAGCCGUUUGCAAGUUUAACGGUGUAAAAAUAUCCAAAUCACGUGAAAUUUUGAUAAAAAAUUCUUUAUACUAUAUAAAACAAGAUCAAUAUCUUUGAUUUAAAAUUUUAAUGUCAUAUUAUUAUAUUUUGUAAGAUUUUUAUUUUCAGCCGUUGAUUUUGAGCCCCUUCGUUUACUAGGCAAAUGAUAUCGUAAAAUCAUAAAAUUUAGUUUCUAGGUACUUCAAAUACUCUAGAUCAAGUUUAA